rnacentral:rRNA from 1 species
AGUGAACGCUGGCGGUAGGCCUAACACAUGCAAGUCGAACGGCAGCACAGGAGAGCUUGCUCUCUGGGUGGCGAGUGGCGGACGGGUGAGGAAUACAUCGGAAUCUACUCUGUCGUGGGGGAUAACGUAGGGAAACUUACGCUAAUACCGCAUACGACCUACGGGCGAAAGCAGGGGACCUUCGGGCCUUGCGCGAUUGAAUGAGCCGAUGUCGGAUUAGCUAGUUGGCGGGGUAAAGGCCCACCAAGGCGACGAUCCGUAGCUGGUCUGAGGAGAUGAUCAGCCACACUGGAACUGAGACACGGUCCAGACUCCUACGGGAGGCAGCAGUGGGGAAUAUUGGACAACGGGCGCAAGCCUGAUCCAGCCAUACCGCGUGGGUGAAGAAGGCCUUCGGGUUGUAAAGCCCUUUUGUUGGGAAAGAAAUCCAGCUGGCUAAUACCCGGUUGGGAUGACGGUACCCAAAGAAUAAGCACCGGCUAACUUCGUGCCAGCAGCAGCCGCGG